rnacentral:misc_RNA from 1 species
CAAUAAGUGUUUUAUGGCACUUUUUGUAGAAGUUCUUGUGAGGUUUUGGUUGUGGACUUAGGUCUGCAGUUGAUUCUUUGCGAGUCUUCUAUGUCUUACAAACUCUAUUAGUAUGUUUUAGAAUGUCUUUUAUUGGGACUUCAUUGGCCCUUUAAACUUUAUA